ACCAGAGAGGACAUCCUGUAAAGAAUGGGAGAAACAAAAGAGAUCAUUUCUGUUGAAUCUGUGUCUGCAAGCUGCACUCGCAGAUACACCGGCCACUACAGACACAACUAUAGAAGCACUGAUGUCUGUUGAGGAAUAUCAGAGAUGUGAUUUCCUGCUGGAUCUGUGUUCACAUGUGAAGGACUAUGAGACUCAAACAGGCAGGAGUGUCCUUCCAGUAUUACAGCCAAUUUAUCAGUCAGCUCCUGAAGUCUGGAUCAUAAACCUCUCAGAGAAAAAGAGCUCCAUCCUCCUAGAAGUGCUGAAACUCCAAACAGAGAAGAAACCAGUAGAGCUGAGAGACUGGACAGAUGAAGAGAGUGAAGUGAGGGGAUUCCUCCAGUGUCUGCCCUACAUCUCACAGCUCAGAUUUGUUAAACCA